CCAAUAGCGUAUAUUAAAGUUGUUGCAGUUAAAAAGCUCGUAGUUGAAUUUCGAGAUCAAAUUGUUGGUCGUGCCUCGGUACGCACUGGCAUUAUUGGUUUCUCCCUUCUGAAGAACCUUGAUGUCAUUAAUUUGGUGUCUUGGGGAAUCAGGACCGUUACUUUGAAAAAAUUAGAGUGUUUAAAGCAGGCUCACGCUUGAAUACAUUAGCAUGGAAUAAUGAAAUAGGACGUUUGAUUCUAUUUUGUUGGUUUCUAGGAUCGACGUAAUGAUUAAUAGGGAUAGUUGGGGGCAUUAGUAUUCAAUUGUCAGAGGUGAAAUUCUUGGAUUUAUUGAAGACUAACUACUGCGAAAGCAUUUGCCAAGGAUGUUUUCAUUAAUCAAGAACGAAAGUUAGGGGAUCGAAGACGAUCAGAUACCGUCGUAGUCUUAACCAUAAACUAUGCCGACUAGGGAUCGGAUGAUGUUAAUUUUUUAAUGACUCAUUCGGCGCCUUACG
rnacentral:rRNA from 1 species